GAAUUUCGAAGUGACUUUGCUGAGCCUUCUGGGUUGUGGUUUAUGCAAGAACCUUCCAAGGACCCGGUUGAGUCACCGGCUGUGAUCAGGCAGCAUCUCCCCGCCUGCAGACCAAGAGCCAGGCAUGAGACGGCAGGAGCGCCGACCUGCAGGUCUGUCUGCAGCAGGACGCACGGCGGCUGACUCAGCGGAGACUUGCCCGGAACCUGGCUGCCAGGUUUCCCACUGCCAACGCUGAGCCGUCCCGAGGAGGAGCAGAGCAGAAGCCUCCAGCAAAGAAUAAAACAACAAGGCCUCUACCAUGCCGCCCCUUCUGCCACCAUCGAUUCCACCAGGACAAAGCUAAGAUGUCAUGAGUUCAGAGAGCUCGAAGUGUCGUCAGAAGGAGGCUGCACCCACAGCAGGCAGAAGUUCCUGGGCCAAGAAUCGAACCCACACCACAGCAGCGACCCUAGCCACUGUUGUGACAAUGCCGAAUCCCUAGCCUGCUGGACCACACGGGAACCCCCGAACUGA
rnacentral:lncRNA from 1 species